rnacentral:misc_RNA from 1 species
AAUUUGUUGUUGUUGGGUUUUCAGAUCUGAAUCAUCUUCUUUGUGAAUUUUUCUCUCUGAAUACGAUUAGUAAAGGUUUUGAUUUCUAUUCACAGAACAGAGCUCAGGGCUUGCUUUUUCUUUUCCAGUGGAAGUUUAUCUCUUUCUACAACUUUUGGAAAGAAAUCAUAACUGGAUUUUAACUUAGCAAGGGGAUUUUGGCUCAGCUGGUAGAUGCAACUAAACAGUUAAAUCAAUAUAUUUGGUAAACUCCUUAAAAAGGUAAAGGUAACUUCUAGUGUAUCAACUGUAUUUUUAUUAAGUUUUAUAAUAAGAGUUGUUUAUGAAUUAUUGUA